UGCCGUGCCCUGCGGGCGAGGCCCCAUGAACCAUGUCAGGCGGGGAACCGAGCAGCAUUAAGUGGAUCGCUUUGCCGCCGCAGACCGCUCGGUAUCC
rnacentral:SRP_RNA from 1 species